CAGCAGCCGCGGUAAUACGGAAGGUCCAGGCGUUAUCCGGAUUUAUUGGGUUUAAAGGGAGUGUAGGCGGUUUGUUAAGCGUGUUGUGAAAUUUAGGUGCUCAACAUUUAACUUGCAGCGCGAACUGUCAGACUUGAGUACACGCAACGUAUGCGGAAUUCAUGGUGUAGCGGUGAAAUGCUUAGAUAUCAUGAAGAACUCCGAUUGCGAAGGCAGCAUACGGGAGUGUAACUGACGCUUAAGCUCGAAGGUGCGGGUAUCGAACAGGAUUAGAUACCCUGGUAGUCCGCACAGUAAACGAUGGAUGCCCGCUGUUAGCGCCUGGCGUUAGCGGCUAAGCGAAAGCAUUAAGCAUCCCACCUGGGGAGUACGCCGGCAACGGUGAAACUCAAAGGAAUUGACGGGGGCCCGCACAAGCGGAGGAACAUGUGGUUUAAUUCGAUGAUACGCGAGGAACCUUACCCGGGCUUGAAUUGCAGAGGAAUUAUUUAGAGAUAAAUAUGCCCUUCGGGGUCUCUGUGAAGGUGCUGCAUGGUUGUCGUCAGCUCGUGCCGUGAGGUGUCGGCUUAAGUGCCAUAACGAGCGCAACCCCUUUUCUUAGUUGCCAUCAGGUAAUGCUGGGCACUCUGGGAACACUGCCACCGCAAGGUGUGAGGAAGGUGGGGAUGACGUCAAAUCAGCACGGCCCUUACGUCCGGGGCUACACACGUGUUACAAUGGCCGGUACAGAGGGAUGGUGUAAUGCAAAUUGCAUCAAAUCUUAAAAGCCGGUCCCAGUUCGGACUGAGGUCUGCAACCCGACCUCACGAAGCUGGAUUCGCUAGUAAUCGCGCAUCAGCCAUGGCGCGGUGAAUACGUUCCCGGGCCUUGUACACACCGCCCGUCAAGCCAUGAAAGCCGGGGGUGCCUGAAGUUCGUAACCGUAAGGAGCGACCUAGGGCAAAACUGGUAAUUGGGGCUAAGUCGUAACAAGGUAGCCGU
rnacentral:rRNA from 1 species